AGACCGAGUUGGUUGAUGUUGCCUUGCGGAACAGGUUCUUCUUGUGCCUCUGAUAUAAUUCAAGCGCCCAAACUGGAGACUUUGGCUGGAGAAGACUUUAGUCUCAGAUGUGACCAUGCCUCGCUUCCUACAUCUGACUACAUCUUCUGGUAUAGGCUGUUUCCUGGUCAGGGACCAGUGUUUCUACUACGAGGCUACUCAGAGACCGAGUCACCAGACCAUAAACUGAGAUUAACAUUCAACGAAGGGAGAAAAUCCAGUGUCCUCCAUAUACGGGAUGUGGAGCCUGAAGACGGUGCGGUCUAUCUGUGUGCUCGGGGGGGAGCUGCAAAUAAGCUGAUCUUUGGAGUAGGAACACAACUCAAAGUAACUCCAAAAACAGACCGGACAAGCCCUUCGGUAUAUCAGCUGACGUCUUACAAGCCAACAGAAAGUCUCCCGAACACGGUCUGCCUGGUUACUGAUUUCCCAUCACCAAAUAAAACUUUGGAUGUAGACAAACAGAAAAUAGAGCUGAACGAUGUAGCUGUGCUGGAUAUGUCCAGUAGUGAUGUGUGGAGAUACAGCGCAGUCAUAUGGGACCAGGACAAUCCCUCCAAGGACCUCAGCUGUGCAGUGAAGUAUGAUGGAGAAACUGUCCACCCGGAUACCACAAUAGAUGAAACAACUGAUACUUGCUCAUCCCUAUCUGUCACUAAACGUUUCCACACAAACCCAAGCAUGAACACAUUGUCAAUUUCAGUUCUUGGACUGAGGAUUCUUACCGCCAAAGCUGUUGUCUUCAACCUAAUAAUAACCCUGCGCCUUUGGUCAUCUUAAGAUAUUCUUCACUGGGCUCAAAACAGCAACAUCAGUCAUUUUCAUCAGUUCUGUUGGAUGAAAUGAAAUCUUUAUCACCAUUCAGACAUUGUAUAUUUAUAAUCAUAGUGUGGCAUGUAUAUAGUGCCAUGAAUAUUAAGCAGGUUUGAGAUGAUUAAAAUAGAAUUACCCAAUUAAUAUAGGAAGAAAUGAUGUCAUCCAUUAUACUCAAUUGUAAUUUACAUAGUGUAUGUACUAUUUCCGUUACAUGCAUUUUACUUAGUAUGUUCUAAUCUUCGUCAUGUCUAUACUGUAUACUUGUAAUAUAUAUGUCUUUUCUAUACAAUGUAAACAAUAUCACAAAAGUUAUAUUAAAGCAUUUAUUGAAAAAAGAAAA